ACCUUUUUAGCUCAGUUAGAAGAGCAUGAGACUCUUAAUCGCAGGGUUGUGGGUUCGAGUCUGGCAUUGGGCA